rnacentral:lncRNA from 1 species
GAAAACGAUACGUAGUCCAAUCGAUGUUACUAGUAACACCAGACCCAGAACCAGCACCACCACCAACAACAGAAUCCGCAAUCUCAUUAACCAUUUUGCUUACUACACAAUAUAACAGUUAAUCACUUCAAGAUUGUUGGGAGUCACAGUGAAAAUCACAGCAACAAUGUGUAGAGCAGUUAUAUUAUAUAAACAAGAGUAGGCCAACGAAACCACAACAAUAUAGCAUGCACGAAGAUCGUAUAUACAAUAAUCAGUGACUGAUAAAUUACAAGAAAAGAAGAGAAAGGCGCACCUUACACCGUCGCUAGAAUUAGUAUACAGAACAGCUGAGUCGCCUAGCCCUUCGAUGAAGACUAGACUGUUCUUGAAGUGAUUAUUCCCCACUACGCUGUGAUGGAGACAAUAAUCAGUGAUUGAGAAAUUACGAGAAAAGAAGAGAAAGGCGCACCUUACACCGUCGCUAGAAUUUAGUAUACAGAAUAGCUGAGUCGCCUAGCCCUUCGAUGAAGACUAGACUGUUCUUGAAGUGAU